GCUCAAAAUAUGAUGUAAGAUAGAGCAUGGAGUGGAAUCUGGCAUCAGUCAUUAACUUUAUUCACUGUUGUUCAAUUAUAAACAACCAAGGAAAUCAAGGAAAGGUAUUUUGAAUCCAUUCUCUAAAUGCAACCAAUUUUCAACGAAGCAGUAAAAUGGUGUUCCAGUGAAAUCAUAACAUGGAGUACAUGAGAGAAGGAGCGUGCACAGGAAGCACUCAGGACAAAGAGCUGCCAAGCUUCACGGUCACUCACACCGGACCAAGAAGGAAGGGCUAUGAGUCAGGGAUUUCAUCAUUUCCUCCACCUGUGUUUAUCCUCAACCAACUGUGGUGAUUGGAUUUAAAUUCUGAUCUUCAGGGCAACCUUCUUAAAACGUCCAACAGAGCCACAGAGUUUACAGCUGCCACUAUCAAUGUAGGCUCCUUCGGCACUACCAGGACAGUACCUAGAAAGGUGUCCCAUUUCUCCACAGAAAAAAGCCUUGGCAAAGGAAAAUUCACCGAAUUCACCUCUGCAGGUCGCAAUGUUGUUCUCCAUGGACCUGCAGUAGUGGUAAAUACCAGUGUCCAUAUCUCCACAUUAUAGUUCACUUGGGCAAUUAGUAAUCCCAUAGCCAGGUU
rnacentral:lncRNA from 1 species